CCCGGGUCUUGUACACACCGCCCGUCACACCAUGGGAGUGGGUUUCACCAGAAGUAGGUAGCCUAACCGCAAGGGGGGCGCUUACCACGGUGGGAUUCAUGACUGGGGUG
rnacentral:rRNA from 1 species